ACAUCAAGACUAGGCAUACACUG
rnacentral:miRNA from 1 species